AGCGAACGCUGGCGGCAGGCUUAACACAUGCAAGUCGAGCGGGCAUCUUCGGAUGUCAGCGGCAGACGGGUAAGUAACACGUGGGAACGUACCCUUCGGUUCGGAACAACUCUGGGAAACUGGAGCUAAUACCGGAUACGCCCUUAUGGGGAAAGGUUUACUGCCGAAGGAUCGGCCCGCGUCUGAUUAGCUAGUUGGUGGGGUAACGGCCUACCAAGGCGACGAUCAGUAGCUGGUCUGAGAGGAUGAUCAGCCACACUGGGACUGAGACACGGCCCAGACUCCUACGGGAGGCAGCAGUGGGGAAUAUUGGACAAUGGGCGCAAGCCUGAUCCAGCCGUGCCGCGUGAGUGAUGAAGGCCUUAGGGUUGUAAAGCUCUUUUGUCCGGGACGAUAAUGACGGUACCGGAAGAAUAAGCCCCGGCUAACUUCGUG
rnacentral:rRNA from 1 species